rnacentral:tRNA from 1 species
GGGCGCUUAACUCAGUUGGUAGAGUGUCUCCUUUACACGGAGAGAGUCACUGGUUCGAGUCCAGUAGCGCCCACCA